ensembl:lncRNA
GUGGUAUCCUUUCUAACCUUCAUUUCCUCACAGCCUUGAAGAGGAAAUAUGCAAGAAGACGAGAAGACUGCACACAUGAGAACUUCUCUUAGGGUGAGCCCUGCCUGUGGUUCAGAGGAAGCCUUGGACAAGACGCUUGGGGAAGCCCCCGUGAAUCACACUUGGCCCUGGCAGGUGGCGGGGGGAGAUUCCUCAGGCCUCUGGUCUCUCCGAGUGCUCUGCUUCCCUUUCUUCCUUCCUCCCACUCUGCUCUCAGC